rnacentral:rRNA from 1 species
GUAGGGAAUAUUGGACAAUGGGGGGAACCCUGAUCCAGCCAUGCCGCGUGGAGGAAGACUGCCCUCUGGGUUGUAAACUCCUUUUAUAUGGGAAGAACCGUCCUCAUUAAUGAGUGACCUGACGGUACCAUAGGAAGAAGCACCGGCUAACUCCGUGCCAGCAGCCGCGGUAAUACGGAGGGUGCAAGCGUUAUCCGGAUUCACUGGGUUUAAAGGGUGCGUAGGCGGAUAAAUAAGUCAGUGGUGAAAUCAACGGGCUCAACCUGUUAACUGCCAUUGAUACUGUGUAUCUUGAAUAUGAGAGAGGUAGGCGGAAUGUUGCAUGUAGCGGUGAAAUGCUUAGAUAUGCUACGGAACACCGAUUGCGAAGGCAGCUUACUAUUUCGUAAUUGACGCUGAGGCACGAAAGCGUGGGUAGCGAACAGGAUUAGAAACCCCGGUAGUCC